UACAGAGGUCUCAAGCGUUGUUCGGAUUCAUUGGGCGUAAAGGGUGCGCAGGCGGCGGGGUAAGUCGGACGUGAAAUCCCGGGGCUCAACCCUGGAACUGCGUUCGAUACUACCCUGCUCGAGGGCUGGAGAGGAGACUGGAAUUCCUGGUGUAGCAGUGAAAUGCGUAGAUAUCAGGAGGAACGCCAAUGGCGAAGGCAAGUCUCUGGACAGUUCCUGACGCUCAUGCACGAAGGCCAGGGGAGCAAACGGG
rnacentral:rRNA from 1 species